rnacentral:rRNA from 1 species
UACGAAGGGUCAAGCGUUACUCGGAAUUACUGGGCGUAAAGCGUGCGUAGGCGGUUCGUUAAGUCUGUCGUGAAAGCCCUGGGCUCAACCUGGGAAUUGCGAUGGAUACUGGCGAGCUAGAGUACGGUAGAGGAUGGGUGGAAUUCCCGGUGUAGCGGUGAAAUGCGUAGAGAUGGGAGGAACACCCGUGGCGAAGCAGCUCGCUGGGACGUUACUGAGCUGAGACGCGAAAAGCGUGGGGGAGAAAACAGGAUU